ACUCUCUUGGGGUCGCACCUGGAGAGUUUCCAGUACUCUACCAGUCUCAAAUAUGGGAGGGAAAGUCAAGCAGAGUCAUAUCCAGUCCACUCCUAGCUUGGCCACUGGCUAAUGAGUGGAAGGCAAUCUGCUAAAAGU